CCUCAGGUGGCAGCAGUGGGGAAUAUUGGACAAUGGGCGAAAGCCUGAUCCAGCCAUGCCGCGUGUGUGAAGAAGGCCUUCGGGUUGUAAAGCACUUUCAGUGGGGAAGAAAGCCUUGGGGCUAAUACCCUCGAGGAAGGACAUCACCCACAGAAGAAGCACCGGCUAACUCCGUGCCAGCAGCCGCGGUAAUACGGAGGGUGCGAGCGUUAAUCGGAAUUACUGGGCGUAAAGCGCGCGUAGGCGGUCUGAUAAGCCGGUUGUGAAAGCCCCGGGCUCAACCUGGGAACGGCAUCCGGAACUGUCAGGCUAGAGUGCAGGAGAGGAAGGUAGAAUUCCCGGUGUAGCAGUGAAAUGCGUAGAGAUCGGGAGGAAUACCAGUGGCGAAGGCGGCCUUCUGGACUGACACUGACGCUGAGGUGCGAAAGCGUGGGCAGCAAACAGGAUUAGAUACCCCAGUAGUC
rnacentral:rRNA from 1 species